AUGGCGUGCCCAAGCCCGAUCACAGAUCAUGGUGCAGGUCUGUAUGGAUAUCUCGACCAGACCGUCGAAGAAACCCCCAAAACCAUCACCACCAAGACCACGGAUGGCAAGGAUCAGGUCGUUGCAAACCCUGCCUAUGUCCCAUUGUUGAUUCAAGAUCAACAAAUAGUUGCUUAUCUUCUCAGAAACUUGUCCAAGGAAGUCCUCGUCCAAGUCGCGUCGCUUGAGAAAUCGCAUGCGAUCUGGAGCGCGUUGGGAAACAUGUUUUCCUCCGUGUUUCUGUCCCAUGCGAACAACAUCAGGGCUGCCCUGACCAACGUGCAGAAUGGGUCUCAAUCAGCAUCGGUGUACUUUGGCCAUAUGAGGUCAUUCGCCGAUCAGCUCGCGGCUGCGGGCAAGCCGAUCGGCGAACCAAAAUUGAUCUCCUUCAUCAUCGCUGGCCUCGAUAUGGAGUACCAGCCCAUCAUCAGCGCGCUGGACGUCCGCACCGACCCCAUCACAGUUGAUCUUCUCUUCUCCCUCGUGGCCAAUUUUGAUUAG
rnacentral:rRNA from 1 species